rnacentral:lncRNA from 1 species
GUUUAACCACUUGUACGCAGACUACACCCACUGCUGCCUCUUGGGUGAAGCUCCGCCCCUGCUUAGGUGGCCAACAGUUUAAUGAACCUUGCCUUCUUUGAAGAGAGCAGAUACUUUCCAGUUCUGCGCGCUGAUUGGCACCUUCUAGGUACUCAGACACUGCUGGUGGGGAGGUAGGGUGAGCCAGAGGCUCCUAGGCGAAACCUGCAGAUUUCUGGCCUUGCUUUCUGCCAUGGAAUCUGUGCAUGCCGCGAGGGAGUCAGCUUUACUUCCAAGACUACACUCCUCUGCACUUCUUUCCAAAAGGCUGUGGGUUCCUAGCUCCGCUCCUGCAAAUUCAGGUCCCCUCCCCACCCAGAUCACCACCGGCUAAAAGAGACACAAGCAGCAGCCAUUGUACCUAAACAUCCUAGGAAACAGAUACUGGGAGACACUGAGUCAUUUCUUCAGACCGAUGGAGAGAGGCAGGACGCAUAGGAGAGACUUCACGGGUGAGACCUGGAGCAGCAACUGAAACUAACUCUGGCCAUUCUUGCAAGGCACCUGCAGAGCCUGGGUUGAUUGAGGCCAGAGCCCAGAAGGUCAGCUCCAACCCAGGGCCGCCUGGGUGCUGGGACAGCUGGAGCUGGCUGGACUGGAGUGACGUGUCUCGGAGGUAAAAUCGGGCACCGGAGGCUUCAAAUGGCUAAGUGUCCUCCAGUUCUCUAGUCCCUGCCCACCACCCCAGGGAGCAGGAAAGUGCAAGAUGCAUUCUGGGCUUCCACAAUGGGAGGGGGUCCCUGCCUCCUAACAAGAUCUAACAGUGGUGGAUUUCCUAGACUCAAGGAGGCCUCCGACGUGUGAUGGAUCAGAGAGCAGCUGAACUCACCUUGCUGGGAGAAGUGGAGGCUCCACGAGGCACCUUGAAAGCUGGAUGGGCUGGAGUCAGAAACAGACAACGGGAGCGGGAAAAGGAAGGGACCGGCCUGGGCACAGGGGGAGGGGUAGCUUUGGGAAAGCGCUCCUGAUGGAUGAGUUUCGGGUUUGGAUGGGCUGACCUGCUCCUGGGAUGCUGCAGUAAGACUCUAGGUAGGACUUACUUUUGAAUGUGCUACUAUCACAAGAGGUGCAGCCAACACUUCCCGGGGCCUGUGCACUGGAGAGCAGUGCCUUAGGCUGCCAGUGUGCAGUGUCUAAUGUGCAGGACACUUGGGCCCAGCGUGUCCUGCUGGGUCCUGCAUCCUUACUGACCUCUGGCUGCUCUAUCCAGGGUCGAAAGAAGACACGGACACCCACAGUUAUUGAGGAGGGACUCUCUCUCCAAGGCUGCCGCUGCUUGCUUUGCAUAUUUAGAAGCUCUGGUGUUUGGUGCACAUGUAUUUGCCAUUGCUGUGUCUUCCUGGUGAGUUGGCCCUUUUGCAUGAUGCCCCUGUCUCUUGUGACAGUCUUGGACAGAGUCUGUUAUUUUCAUCCUGACGGAGCUGCCUUGCUCACUUUUGUUUCCUGUUUGUCUUGAUGUAUUUCCCACCCCUUCACUUUCAGCCUCUGUGUGUUCUUAGAGCUAAAGUGGGUCUUUUGUAGACAGCACAUAUUCAGAUCCUGUAUUCAUUCAUUCAUUCAUUCAAUUGGAGGUUGAACUUAGGGGGACUUUACCACUGAGCACAUCCCCAGCCCUUUUUAUUUUUUGUGAUGGAGUCUCACUAAAUUGCUAAGGCUGGCCUCAAACCUGCCAUCCUCCUGCCUCAGCCUCCCAAGCCAUUGGGAUUGCAGGCAUGUGCCACCAGGCCCAGCUUGAAUCCUGUUUUUUGUUUUGUUUUGUUUUGUUUUGUUUUGUUUUUAAUCAUUCUGGCAAUCUAUGCCUUUUGGUUGAGUUUUAUCCAUAUACAUCUUUUACACAUUUUUUUGCCCAUAAUAUUUAUAUUUAUCCUCUUUUCAAUAACAUAGGAAAUAAAAAGAGGAGUUACAAACCAAAAAUACAACAAUUUUGGCCUUUCCACUUGCC